UCUAGCCCACACCCUGCAGCAGUACCUGAAGGAUUUGCUCACCGUGCAUGACCCUGAGACCUGUAAGGGCAGGGCUUCCGACGACUGCUCACUGAGGCUGUCCGGCUGUCAGCGUGCCUUGAGGACCUGCUUGGAGCAGAAAAUAUUGAAGAGGAGGAAACACCAGCACAAGGACCUGUUGUUGACAGGGAGCUCUUGGAAGUGGAUGAGAUGGAAACCCCACCAAGUUCACAGCAGGAAACAUCUACCACUGGUGUUGUUGACCACCUGCCCAGUGACUCCUGCCUGCCUGAGGGCACUGUGCAAAUGUCUCCUGAUGCUGAGGUCACCCACAGUGUGCCAGGUGUAGACUGGGAACACGCUUGUUCACACAAGAAGAAGAACCUGUCACCGUUCUCCCAGGUAGCCUCUCCCUUCUUUGUACACAGGGACUCUCAGGUUGAGGGUUGCUUUUGAGCACAGGCCCUGCAGACACAGUUGGUUUCCAUCAGGUCCAGGUUGUGGCACUGAACAUAGACAUCAGGAGAGUCAAGGAGCUUCCCUCCCCUCAGAUGCUGUUUGUCUCACUGCACCCUAGCCUGUGGGAACAUACUUAGGCCCUGUGUAGGAAGUGCCUUUCAGACCCUCUAACUUAGAAAUAAUGCCUGCUGUCACCUGCAGUGAUAUCAUUCUGUGCUACUCCUGCAUCCCUGGAGUUCUAGCCCCAUGCAGGCUUUUGGUAACACUUCCCAUGUGUGGGCCAAGUUGUGAUCCUAGCUUCCCGA